rnacentral:rRNA from 1 species
UACAGAGGGGGCAAGCGUUGUCCGGAUUUAUUGGGUUUAAAGGGUGCGUAGGCGGCCCUGUAAGUCAGUGCUGAAAUAUCCCGGCUUAACCGGGAGGGUGGCAUUGAUACUGCGGGGCUAGAGUACAGAUGAGGUAGGCGGAAUUGACGGUGUAGCGGUGAAAUGCUUAGAUAUCGUCAAGAACACCUAUAGCGAAGGCAGCUUACUAGGCUGUAACUGACGCUGAGGCACGAAAGUGUGGGGAUCAAACAGG